AAUCGACCUACCGUUUACUUACAUACUGCAAACACUUUUUUCAUCGCCGAUUAAACCCUAAUUUUCACAAUUCUAAGCCAUUUUGCACCUCAGGUUCAAGGUAUCAUUGUAGCCAACCUUCUCAGUUGGUAAAACCUUAUAUUUGUAAUUAUCAACAAGAAUUUCAAACAUUUAAACAUCUCCCGGUAUCUCUGGGUACGAAUCCAUGGAACAGAUGCAGAAGCCAGUAUAGAUGUUUG
rnacentral:misc_RNA from 1 species